CCUACGGGUGGCAGCAGUGAGGAAUAUUGGUCAAUGGCCGGAAGGCUGAACCAGCCAUGCCGCGUGAAGGUCAGUGCCCUAUGGGCGUUAAACUUCUUUUGUGCGGGAGCAAUAAUGGUCACGUGUGGCCAGACGAGAGUACCGUACGAAUAAGCAUCGGCUAACUCCGUUCCAGCAGCCGCGGUAAUACGGGGGAUGCAAGCGUUAUCCGGAUUUAUUGGGUUUAAAGGGUGCGUAGGCUGUGAGGUAAGUCAGCGGUGAAAUGCCCCCGCUCAACGGGGUGAAGUGCCAUUGAUACUGCCUGGCUGGAAGGCGGAUGCCGUGGGAGGAAUGUGUGGUGUAGCGGUGAAAUGCAUAGAUAUCACACAGAACACCGAUUGCGAAGGCAACUCACGAAUCCGCGAUUGACGCUGAUGCACGAAAGCGUGGGUAUCAAACAGGAUUAGAUACCCCAGUAGUC
rnacentral:rRNA from 1 species